UUGAAUUUAAUGUAGAGUUUGGUUGUAGCUGGCCUAAUUAAUAAUUUGGGCAUGUGCACACCUUCUCUUUCAUCCACACACACCUGUGCACCUGUGAGACAGAGUGGGAAUUUAAUUUAAUUUAAUUGGACCCUCUGUCUACUUAAUUCACACAAACUCUAUUUAUUAUAAAAUGAAUGUAAUUGAUGUAACGCAUCUAAUAC
rnacentral:misc_RNA from 1 species